rnacentral:lncRNA from 1 species
GGUGCCUUUUUUCCUGGAUACCCUUUCCAAUGCUUGUCCAGCAUACAUAACACUUUCUUUUUACUCCUAGUCGGCAUUGGAGAUGCCAGUGAGUAAGCCUGAUCUCUAGUGUUAUAUUUGAUGGUCCCCCGUACGUGUAUCUCUGGUUAUAUAUAUAUAGCAAUAAGGUAAUGUCAACGGUAAUUGAAAAUAGCAGAAAUGUUUUUGACAAUUUUGAAGGGCCAAGUUGACGGUUCAGUGACACAUUGAAUGAUUUAAAAUUCAAAUAGCUUUAUUAUAUUCACCACUUUGAAGAAGACAUUUACGGCCACUUCAAUAUUUGUGAUUAAAUAUAUACUGUUGUAUAUAUUGAUCACAUUUGUCGACUCAAUAUCGCUUUUUCUAUGUACAUUAUUUAUUAUGAUUUGCCUAGUUAAUAUAUUCGAUUAAUGCAUUAUUGAUGACACCAAAUUAUAAGAUAUUCAUGCAUAUCCUGUUUAAUACAAAUGCUGUUUGAAAACUUCUUCAUUUGUUCUUCCAGUGCCAGAAUUUGCGUUUCUUGAUAUGAUUUCCUAUAGUUCAGGUUCUUGCUUACAAUGAACCAAUGAACGUGUUAUAUCGAUAUUUUCCUCUUGUAACCACAACUCUGUUGACUGCUCCGUUAUCUAGAAAUAUUUUGAAAAAUAGUAAUACCAGCUAAAACAGAACACAUAGUUAAAAGCUUUUAACUUUUUACCGAUUGAUAUCCCUGAAAAAGUAAAGGAACACAUUUAUAUUUUUACAGAGUCUAUAAUUGUUCACUAAUGAUGCAGAAUGUGCAUAAUGUUUUCGGCACCAUAUGUUUACCACGGUAUUUAUAUUUAG